UUCCAGCUUUGACCUGCUUGGGAUCCACUUUACUCUCACGCAGAGGCCACGCUGCUCUGAGGCAGUCCUGGCUGCUGAGGACCGAGCAAGGUGCAAGGGCCCGAGAGUUUUGCUUAUCCUCGGGGCUCCUCUGGCGGGAAACAGCUCCAGAUUCCCUGCUCACAUGGCUGAACCUUUGCCAAGUCCGUGUUGCUAUCUGAGGCGCCAUUCAGCCAGUCCUGCCUCCUCACUGUCUUAUCUUCCCAGGUGUUACUCCCAAUGGCCUUCCACUGUUUGCCUCAGUGUCUGAUUCCCAGAGAACGCGAUGAACAUAGAGGGUUAGGGUUCAGCUGGAGUUUCAUUGGAGAAGCACAACCAUUAAGGCUGAAAGGAUUUGGAGGAGCCAAAGGAGACCCAGAGUUGCCGGAGGAGCUGCAGGCCUGGAAGCCACCCCACACCAACAAGCUCACAGAGACAAUCUGAUGCUGCCCACCUGUUCAAGCCUGCAGAAAAGAAGAAAUGAGCACAUUCCCUCUUCAAGGCUGGCCAUUCCAGGAGAUAACUGUGAGACUUAAGACCUUUGUGCUUUACUUCUUCACCUCCUCUCCCUCUCAGUUCUAUAAAAGAACCUGCCAUCUAGACCCCCCCCCCCACCCCCGCAUCAGAUGGUUAUUUUGAGACAUUAGUCUGCCAUCUUCUCGGUCAGCUGGCGUUCUGAAUAAAGUCACACUCCUUAU